rnacentral:rRNA from 1 species
UACGUAGGGUGCGAGCGUUGUCCGGAAUUAUUGGGCGUAAAGAGCUCGUAGGCGGUCUGUCGCGUCUGCUGUGAAAUCCCGAGGCUCAACCUCGGGCUUGCAGUGGGUACGGGCAGGCUAGAGUGCGGUAGGGGAGAAUGGAACUCCUGGUGUAGCGGUGAAAUGCGCAGAUAUCAGGAGGAACACCGGUGGCGAAGGCGGGUCUCUGGGCCAUAACUGACGCUGAGGAGCGAAAGCGUGGGGAGCGAACAGG